rnacentral:rRNA from 1 species
CUGGCUCAGAAUUAACGUUGGCGGCAUGGAUUAGGCAUGCAAGUCGAGCGAUAAGUGUAGCAAUACACGGAAAGCGGCGUAAGGGAGAGUAAUACAUGGGUAUCUACCCUGGGGCCUGGAAUAGCGGCGGGAAACUGCCGGUAAUGCCAGAUAACGUCCCCGGACCAAAGGUGUGAUUCCGCCCUGGGAGGGGCCCAUGUGCUAUUAGCUAGUUGGCAGGGUAACGGCCUACCAAGGCGAAGAUGGCUACGGGGUGUGAGAGCAUGCCCCCGCUCACUGGGACUGAGACACUGCCCAGACACCUACGGGUGGCUGCAGUCGAGAAUCUUCGGCAAUGGGCGAAAGCCUGACCGAGCGAUGCCGCGUGCGGGAUGAAGGCCUUCGGGUUGUAAACCGCUGUCGUAGGGGAGGAAAUGUUAUUGGGUACUCCCUUUAACUUGACCGAUCCUAGGAGGAAGGGCCGGCUAAUCUCGUGCCAGCAGCCGCGGUAAUACGAGAGGCCCAAACGUUAUUCGGAUUUACUGGGCUUAAAGAGUUCGUAGGCGGUCCAGAAAGUUGGGUGUGAAAGCCCUCUGCUCAACCGA